rnacentral:snoRNA from 1 species
GUUCCCAAUGAUGCUUAUUUCUACCAUGCUAAUACCGAUUAUUUUCAAUGAUUGGAUGUUCAAUAUUGUCUCCUGAGGGAACU